rnacentral:rRNA from 1 species
AUCCUGGCUCAGAACGAACGUUAGCGGCGCGCCUAACACAUGCAAGUCGAACGAGAAAGGGAGCAAUCCCCGGUACAGUGGCGCACGGGUGAGUAACACGUAGGUAAUCUGCCCUUGGGUGUUGGAUAACCUUCCGAAAGGAGGGCUAAUACAGCGUAAGACCACGAGCACGAAAGUGCUUGAGGUCAAAGUAGGCCUCUGUAAACAAGCUUACGCCUGAGGAUGAGCCUGCGGCCCAUCAGCUAGUUGGUAGGGUAAUGGCUUACCAAGGCAAAGACGGGUAGCUGGUCUGAGAGGAUGAUCAGCCACACUGGAACUGAGACACGGUCCAGACUCCUACGGGAGGCAGCAGUGGGGAAUCUUGCGCAAUGGGGGAAACCCUGACGCAGCGACGCCGCGUGAGUGAUGAAGGCC